rnacentral:tRNA from 1 species
GUAUAUAUAAUUUAAAUAAAAUAUUAAACUGUGACUUUAAUUAUGAGAG